rnacentral:rRNA from 1 species
CCUACGGGUGGCAGCAGUGGGGAAUAUUGCUCAAUGGGGGAAACCCUGAAGCAGCAACGCCGCGUGAAGGAUGAAGGUUUUCGGAUUGUAAACUUCUGUUGUUAGUGAAGAAUAUUGCCGUUAGUAAAGAAUCAGGUCUCGCCUAACGCGUUGCCGGAAGCCCCGGUAAAACGGAGGUGCCAAGCGUUGUCCGGAAUUACUGGGGGUAAAGGGAGCGUAGGGGGGAUGCCAAGUCAGAUGUGAAAACUUAGGGCUUAACUUGUAGACUGCAGUUGAAACUGGUAUUCUUGAGUAAAGUAGAGGUAGGUGGAAUUCCGGGUGUAGCGGUGAAAUGCGUAGAUAUUCGGAGGAACACCGAUGGCGAAGGCGGCCAGCUGGACUUUAACUGACGCUGAGGCUCGAAAGUGUGGGGAGCAAACAGGAUUAGAUACCCGAGUAGUC